rnacentral:rRNA from 1 species
CGCGCAGGCGGUCGUUCAAGUCGCGUGUGAAAGCCCCCGGCUCAACUGGGGAGGGUCACGCGAUACUGAUCGACUCGAAGGCAGGAGAGGGUAGUGGAAUUCCCGGUGUAGUGGUGAAAUGCGUAGAUAUCGGGAGGAACACCAGUGGCGAAGGCGACUACCUGGCCUGUUUCUUGACGCUGAGGCGCGAAAGCUAGGGAGCAAACG